rnacentral:rRNA from 1 species
GACGAACGCUGGCGGCGUGCUUAACACAUGCAAGUCGAGCGGUAAGGCCCUUCGGGGGUACGACGAGCGGCGAACGGGUGAGUAACACGUGGGUGACCUGCCCUCAGCUCUGGGAUAAGCCUGGGAAACUGGGUCUAAUACCGGAUAUGACCCCAUGACGCAUGUCGUGGGGUGGAAAGCCUUGUGCGGCUGAGGAUGGGCCCGCGGCCUAUCAGCUUGUUGGUGGGGUGAUGGCCUACCAAGGCGACGACGGGUAGCCGGCCUGAGGGGGCGACCGGCCACACUGGGACUGAGACACGGCCCAGACUCCUACGGGAGGCAGCAGUGGGGAAUCUUGCGCAAUGGGCGAAAGCCUGACGCAGCGACGCCGCGUGAGGGAUGACGGCCU